rnacentral:rRNA from 1 species
GACGUAGGGCGCAAGCGUUGUCCGGAUUUAUUGGGCGUAAAGAGCUCGUAGGCGGCUUGUUGCGUCGUCCGUGAAAACCCGCAGCUCAACUGCGGGCUUGCGGACGAUACGGGCAGGCUGGAGUUCGGUAGGGGAGACUGGAAUUCCUGGUGUAGCGGUGAAAUGCGCAGAUAUCUGGAGGAACACCGGUGGCGAAGGCGGCAUCCUGGACCGGCAUUGACGCUGAGGCGCGAAAGCCAGGGGAGCAAACGGG